UCGAGGGUUGCUUACAGGAUUCACAUAAGGUAUAAAAGGUAUAAAAAUGUUACACAAAAUUUUAAAAUAUGUUUCCCGAAAGUUAAGAAAUAAUGUUUAAUUUAUUGAAAUUAUAAAGUGGGGUUUUGCUUCCUUGGUGUUUAUUACGAGCCAAGAUCUCAGGAAAGUAGUUUUGUAUGAGCCGUGUAAGUAUGUACUAAAGAAUUUAAAAGGAUUUCGAUAAGAGCCAGCGAUAAAAAAAAGCCCUAUGGGAUGUAAGCGCGUUGACAGUUCUCUGUUGACAAUAGCAAUAGUUUCUUUGAAGAGCUCUCAGCAAUCAGCUGAUUAAUUCUUACCCAGGGAGAGGAAUCAGUCAAAGUGGUUUGUAUGGCUAAAGAGCCACCGUACAACGUGCGAGCAAUGUUUUAUGGGAAAUGUAGUCGGAGAAGGAAGGCUUCUACCUUACUUGACAGCGCCAACAUUGGAAGAAUCGAAGAAACAGGAAUAUUAGUCCUCCCUACAAUUCGUCUUUUACGGCGACAAUCAAAUGCUUCUGGAUGAUCACACACGCUUCCUCCCCGGCAUAGACUACACGCAUCGCCCAAAAGAGGCUACCCCCCUCUUUCCUUUGUUUCCCACAGCGAAGCCAGAGAUGGGUAUUGGACACACGUGCCGUUCGCUUCCUCAGUUGCUUCACGACAAAAUUUGAGUUUACUUUCGGCGUCAUCCCCAUCCGCUGCUUUAGAAAGGCAAUGCGAAGGACGACUUACGAAAUCAAUGAAAGAAUAAAGGAAUGGCUGGAUUGGGGGAUACAUACGCGGCUCUCUUUGCAAUGAAAAUGAGGGUUUUUCAGAUAACAGGACUGCGGAGUCUAUUAAAUAGAGCCAAAUUAACUAAUGAAAAACUACAUUUGCAGAACAGAUUAUAAAAGAUGAAUUUAGGAGUGGAAAUUUUUUCCUGCUGCUAUUGCCAAACAAUUUGGAGUCAAGUAUUUGAUCUAUUGCAAGUCAUCCAAAAUGUAAAUAAAGCUUUCCCCCUCCAUUUCUGUCUUAAAUAUUUCUAACAUUAGAGAGAAAAAAGGGAAAAUGCUUUGAACCUCCAAAGAGCAUUAAGUGCCAAGAAUGAUAAGACAGAAGAAGCAGCACCAACCUUUUGAGAAUGCAAAAUGGUUCAACAUUUAUACCUUUUGCUGCCAAGCAAAAACCACACAUUUCUAUAGUCAAUGAUUUUAUUAAGUUAAUUCUGCAGAAAUAAAAGAAAAUCAGCCGCCUUCAUUGUUUGGCUCUGGCAACAUCAGCAGUGAAAUUCCUCCCCAUGAGAACGCAUUAGUUGAACCCAACUUUCGGGGAUGAAGACUACGUUUACAAUGGGAUGCACAGACAUUUAAUUAACAUUAAAAAAA